GGUUCCCACACCUGGGGCUCAGGUGUUGCAGUCCAGGUGUUCCUGCCACACCUUUUUGGGGUCCAAACUCAAUGUUUGGGGUCCACACCUGUCCAGGUGUUACCCCCACACCUUUUUGGGGUCCAAACUCAAUGUUUGGGGUCCACACCUGUCCAGGUGUUACCCCCACACCUUUUUGAGGUCCAAACUCAAUGUUUGGGUUCACACCUGUCCAGGCUCACAGGUACCGACUCCUCUCACCUGGGGCUUCAUCCACGGGGCUCAGGUGAAGACACCACACCUCACCUGUCCAGGUGUGACGUUUCAGGUUCCACACCUGUGCUGGGAUGGAGAUUCAGGGUUGCCACACCUGUGGCUCAGGUGUCACUGUCCAGGUGUUCCUGCCACACCUUUUUGGGGUCCAAAUGCAAUUUUUGGGUUCACACCUGUCUGGGCUCACAGGUACCGACUCCUCUCACCUGGGGCUUCAUCCACGGGGCUCAGGUGCUCCAGGUGGAUACACCACACCUGUCCAGGUGUUGCAGGUGAAGCUUUUGGGUUCUUC
rnacentral:lncRNA from 1 species